AUGGAGCAGAAAGGAAAAGGAGAAAGGAGAAUAAUAAAUUCCAAACUUUGGGCUUACCUCUUCCUCCUGGCUGGCUCGCCA
rnacentral:miRNA from 1 species